rnacentral:tRNA from 1 species
UUACAAAAGCAUAACACUGAAGAUGUUAACAUGGACAAAAAGUCCCGAAUGACA